rnacentral:piRNA from 1 species
UCCCACACACUUGAGAGGCUAAAGCAGGA